UUUGACACCAGUGGCGUCAUCUUAUUUACCACCCUGAACACGUCCUGUCUCAUCUGAUCUUGGGGUCCUAGGUAGUACUUGGAUGGGAGACCGCCUGGGAAUACCAGGUGCUGUCAGUG
ensembl:rRNA 5S_rRNA 5S ribosomal RNA